AUACUACUCCCUCCGUUCCGAAUUACUUGUCUUAGAUUUGUCUAGAUACGGAGGUAUCUAGCACUAAAAUGAGUCUAGAUACAUCCGUAUCUAGACAAAUCCAAGACAAGUAAUUCGAAACGGAGGAAGUACUAU
rnacentral:pre_miRNA from 1 species